GCAUUUAUGCCAGCAGGUGAAUGGCUCGGCUCAAGGACCGAUGAAGGACGUGUCAAGCUGCGAUAUGCCUCGGCUAGGCGCAUGAAGCCUAUGAACCGAGGAUUUCCUAAUGAGACCUCUUGACCUUAAUGGUCGAUCAGUAAUGAUCGGGAACGUUCCGAAUUGAAACAUCUUAGUAGGAACCGGAAAAGAAAUCGAAGAGAUGCCGCUAGUAACGGCGAGUGAACACGGCAAAGUUCAAACCGAAUCCCUCUGGGAACAGAAGGGAAAUGUGGUGUGGAAGGACUUUUCCAAGGAUCCCAUCUCACAGAGACCGAAUUUGACUGGAACGUCAAACCACAGAGUGUGAUAGUCACGUAGGUUAAUAUGAACGGAUCUGGAAUUGUUCCAGAGUACCGUGCGUUGGAUAUCGCGCGGGAACCCGGGAGGCAUCAACUUCCAAAACUAAAUAUCUCUUGAGACCGAUAGUGAACUAGUAGGGUGACCGAAAACUGAAAAGUACCCCAAAAAGGGAGGUUCAAAGUGCCUGAAACCUGUUGGUUAUGGAACGAUAUGGCAUGAAAGGAUCUGCGAAAUGAAGGAAACAGUCGCGAGGCUGCUGUACGAGUUUCGUUGCCGAUGUCAUAUCUUACGUUUUGAAGAACGGGCCAGGGAGUGUAUUUCAAUGGCGAAGGCUAACCGAAAGGGGAGCCGAAGCGAAAGCAACAAGCAUGCAGUCUUCGGACAAGAUGCGGCGUAUACAAGUGCGUGGAGUCAUUGGAAUACGACCCGAAGCCGGGUGAUCUAGGCGUGGGCAGGUUGAAGCGUGGCGAAAGCUACGUGGAGGACCGCAAGCGGUACUGACCUGCAAAUCGUUCGUGUGACCUGCGUCUUGGAGUGAAAGGCUAAUCAAACCCGGCAUCAGCUGGUUCCUUCCAAAACAUGUCGUAGCAUGACCUAACUGGAGAUAGUCGGUGGUGUAGAGCACUGAUUGGGGAUCCCGGGGGAGAAAUCCCUCGCUCCCCUGUCAAACUCCAAAACUACCGUCGUCUGAGAAAGUUGGAGUCCGGGCUACUGGGGUAAGCUUGUAGUCCGUAAGGGAGAGAACCCAGCCCGUGGUUAAGGUCCCUAAGUGUCGACUAAGUGUUAAAGAUAAAGGGUGUCCCAGGCCCUAAACAGCUGGAAGGUUAGCUUAGAAGCAGCUACCCUUUAAAGAGUGCGUAACAGCCCACCAGUCGAGGUCUGGGGCCCCGAAAAUGGACGGGGCUCAAGGCGACCACCGAGACCACGGAGUACCGAAAGGUAAUCUUGUAGGAAGGCGUUGCGUUCGGGCAGAAGCAGGGUUGUGAAGUCCUGUGGACCGUACGGAAACGAAAAUCCUGGUAAUAGUAGCAGCAUAGUCAGGUGAGAAUCCUGACCGCCGAAGGGGCCAGGUUUCCUCGGCAAUGAUCGUCAGCCGAGGGUUAGUCGGUCCUAAGACGUACCGUAAUUCGAGUACGCCAAAAGGGAAAC
rnacentral:rRNA from 1 species